AUACACAUAUAUAUCCACUGUGGGACUAUGAAUAAACUGUAUAUAUAUUUAUGUAUGUAAACUUCACAACUGUAAUAUUUUUUUAAGUUCCUCCUGAAAAAAUCCAAGUCAGUUCCAUCAGGGUAACCAAACUAUAGACUCACUUAUCCCUGCUAGACCUCAUGUCUGCAACUACAUCAUGUUGGGGCAGGGAAACUUAUUUUUCUUAACUGAUUAUAGUAAAAUGUUGCUAGUUAACCUUGUUGAGAUACUGUGUACCUUAGAAUGGUAAUAGUAACUGUAGUAGCUGCUUACGAAUGUACCACACAAAUAUUUUAUGACCUUCCCAAAUUUAAUAUGGUUUAUUUAUUUACAUGAAUAUGUUUAUGGUACAUGAUAUUGGAUAAUGAGUUAGCAUGUGAAAAUAUUUAUCAUGCACACUUGAUAGGAAAUCUAUUAUUGAAUGAUUACUUUUAUUCCAUUUUUCAUCUGGAAGAACACUAAAACAAAUAUAUUCCAUGAUAUUUGUUAAUGGUAAUUGGAAGUCAGGCUCCAGGAAAAGAUUUUCUACCAGAUUUCUCUCAUACAUCAUGAGUGAAGCUACAGCUCCCAUUUUUCUAAAAGAUACAUUGAGCAUAAAUAGAAGGAACUCAUCUCUGGGACAAUAUCAUGAUGCUUGAUUCAGGAUCAAGCAUGUCAACUUAAACUAUGUUUUUUUAGUGAAACACCUGUAGGUAUUAGGUAGAAGUUACAGUCCCAUGUACACUGUGAAGGUUUUUCAAUGUUUCACUAACUCAGGCUGUGCUUAGUUCAAUUCCUUUUUUUUUCACCAGAAAACUCUGAAUGGUUACCAUCAAGCUUGUAUAUAUUUUAUUUUAUUUAUUUAUUUUAUAUUUUUUAUUUUUUUUUGGUCAAAAAGGGUAAUUGUGCAAGUAAAGAGAGAGCAAAAUAAGUAUCAUUACUCGGAUCAUGUGUCACCCUAACUCAUUGUGGAUGGGGCACAUAACGACCUAACUGGUUGUCAGGACGGGCGGUCUAUGACACUAGUGGAACCGACUAAAAAUUGAGGGAUGGGGAAAGUGUUUUCCCCGCCUUCUGGGUAGCGCAGACUAGCCCAAACAAUAUUUUUCCAUAAAUCCGUCAUAAAUUAUGGGUUUAGGCUGAGUUUGGAACCCUGUAGCUCUGGAGCUAGUGCUGUUACAGCCUUAAUUUCAUGACUGUGUGAAUGCUGUGAGCAGAUCCCAAUGUACCAUCAUUAACUUUUAUGCCUAAUCAGUGCUGACAUGUAUGCCAUGACACUCAAACGCAAUGGGUUAAUCAUGAGAAUACAUAGUACAUGCAUGGUGGUUAAUGUUUCUUUUACAGUAGCAGUGGCUUGACAGUUUUAAAA
rnacentral:lncRNA from 1 species